rnacentral:rRNA from 1 species
UGGGGAAUUUUGGACAAUGGGCGAAAGCCUGAUCCAGCAAUGCCGCGUGUGUGAAGAAGGCCUUCGGGUUGUAAAGCACUUUUGUCCGGAAAGAAAUCCUUGGCUCUAAUACAGUCGGGGGAUGACGGUACCGGAAGAAUAAGCACCGGCUAACUACGUGCCAGCAGCCGCGGUAAUACGUAGGGUGCAAGCGUUAAUCGGAAUUACUGGGCGUAAAGCGUGCGCAGGCGGUUUGCUAAGACCGAUGUGAAAUCCCCGGGCUCAACCUGGGAACUGCAUUGGUAACUGGCAGGCUAGAGUAUGGCAGAGGGGGGUAGAAUUCCACGUGUAGCAGUGAAAUGCGUAGAGAUGUGGAGGAAUACCGAUGGCGAAGGCAGCCCCCUGGGCCAAUACUGACGCUCAUGCACGAAAGCGUGGGGAGCAAACAGGAUUAGAUACCCUGGUAGUCCACGCCCUAAACGAUGUCAACUAGUUGUUGGGGAUUCAUUUCCUUAGUAACGUAGCUAACGCGUGAAGUUGACCGCCUGGGGAGUACGGUCGCAAGAUU